rnacentral:rRNA from 1 species
AGUGAACGCUGGCGGUAGGCCUAACACAUGCAAGUCGAACGGCAGCACAGUAAGAGCUUGCUCUUACGGGUGGCGAGUGGCGGACGGGUGAGGUAUACAUCGGAAUCUACUUUUUCGUGGGGGAUAACGUAGGGAAACUUACGCUAAUACCGCAUACGACCUACGGGUGAAAGCAGGGGAUCUUCGGACCUUGCGCGAUUGAAUGAGCCGAUGUCGGAUUAGCUAGUUGGCGGGGUAAAGGCCCACCAAGGCGACGAUCCGUAGCUGGUCUGAGAGGAUGAUCAGCCACACUGGAGCUGAGACACGGUCCAGACUCCUACGGGAGGCAGCAGUGGGGAAUAUUGGACAAUGGGCGCAAGCCUGAUCCAGCCAUACCGCGUGGGUGAAGAAGGCCUUCGGGUUGUAAAGCCCUUUUGUUGGGAAAGAAAAGCAGCAGGUUAAUACCCCGCUGUUCUGACGGUACCCAAAGAAUAAGCACCGGCUAACUUCGUG